rnacentral:ncRNA from 1 species
GUAUUGUAUGAAAGGAGAGAAAGUUAGCACCCCCUUGAGAAGGAUGGAAGACGUCCUAGUGGCCUUUACAACACAUAGCUUUUUUUUUUU